UUCCGAUGUCGGUCUACGAGGGUACGUGGACAACACUCUCCCCUCUCGUUGCUAUGCAUCACCAUGAUCUUGCGUGUGCGUAGGAAAUUUUUUGAAAUUACUACGUUCCCCAACAUAUGGGUCCAACCCAAAUAUCAGAUCAAUCUCCCUGCCAUAAGAAGAAACCCUAGAGUGGAAGCACAAGUAAAUCGCAUUGCAAGUUUGCAAGACGAGAUUGUUGUGCGGGAACUGUCCAAUCUCGCCUCCACCUACUUCGCCGAAAGACCAUCUGCAAUCCAACGUUGCUCUACACAUCGCCGGAACUCCGAGUGCCGGUUCUCCAUGAGGUAUUGCAUACUGAAGACACAAGGCUGAAGACACAAGGAGAAUUGGAAUCAUGCUAUUUGUUUUUCUAGAAACCUACAGUUAAUGAAGCAAACAUAAACUGAACCUUAGUGUGCUACUUCCUGAUCUUCAGCUAAUUUUUCAUUGAUUGAUUCAUUGUUGUGUUUAGUUAGUCUAUCCACAAGCUAGAGGGACUAGGUUAAUUAAGAACAAUGUCUAAGGUAAUGAUUCACUAUGUACAGGUUGCCACCAUGUCAUAUUUGGUUGGCUUAGAGUGACAAGUAUUUCAAGGGUAAUCAAGUUGAUAAGCACCAGCUUAAAUUCAACCAAAAAUUUUAUGGCGUGAUCUCAAAUCUGUGAGCACACGAACCACGGAACCUCACCCAGCCAUUCUGGAUUUUUUAAUUGAGAGGCAACUAAUUUCUCAUUGUUUGAUUCAUCAUGCUUACUCGCUCUGUCCUAGAGAGACUAACAUUGUUCUCCGAUCUGGUUGAUUCACUUCAGUUAAAUUUUCCAGUAGCUUCAGCUCUGUACAUUGGCAUGAUAAGGUGUUUGCCGUUUAGACGAAUUAACUGUUGGAUACUCCAUGAAAGAGGUAGGCCCAUCGCAUGAUUAGGAAGAAUAAGGUGUAUGCUAUACUUGAACAGAUUCCGUUAAGGAGACCAUUUAGCAUGGUCUGCUGGUUAUAGCCUUCUGUCUUGAACUGUAGGCAGAAGUGAAUUUGCUGCUUUGUGCACUCAGGAAGCUGAUUUCGUGUCGUGAACUCUACAGUUGAAUAUAUUUAGUCCCUCUACACAAGCAGGCACAAACGUCCUUUUGAUUUGUUUAUUUUUGAAUUAGGCCGCAUAAGUAGGCAGCAGUUACAAUCAAUGGUGAUGCAGAUUGAAGUACAGGCAAGAUUGCACCUUUAGUAACAUUAGUAUCAACUAUCAAGUAUGUUUAAUCUCAUUUAUCCGUAAGCUUAAUAUGUUGUAUACUUGUAUGGUGAUGCAGAGUUGAAGUACACUGCAAUCUGCACUGGGAUGUCCGUGAGCUUAAUCUCAUUUAUCCAUUGAAGGAGGUCGUCCUUGUGAUCACUGGAAACAUGUUUGUGAUUGAGGCACACAGCAAAAUGGCUCACACUCACCACCAUUACUCGAAGGACCAUCUCCAUAUACGAGUUGCUUUACCUGAAAGCAGAUUUCUGAAGAUAUAUAUUUUUUCGUAUUUGUUUUAUAUUUUUGGACAACUGGUUGUUUAUAUUGGUGGAGAUCCAGUGCUUUACAGAGCCCGCAUAUAAAGGUAAUGUGUAUUGCUAUUUUUCUUACUUAGUAGCAUUAGAAUCUCCCCAUCUCUUUAUACGGAGGUGAUGGCGAAGGAGGAAGAGUUGUGUCAGGCCCAGCUCAAGCUAGAUGAAGAAGAGGAGGCCAGAAAGAGAGAAUCAGCAAGGCAGAAGCCUUUUGAUCUCAAGGCAUGAUUCUGCGGGUUGGUGAGCUACUAACAAAGACACACCUCUAUUCUGAAUUUCUACUUGAAAAAGAUGGACCAUCAGCUACAGAAUAUGUUCGCUGUUGACAUUGGUGGUGGUGUCUUUUGGUUCAACAUGAAGUUGUUUAAGUGAAAAAUGCAGUGGAACAUGUGGAACAAAGGACGUGGUAUGGAAAGGAAAGCAAAGCAAAGCCUAAACAGUACAAUGAUGCAGGUUCAGAUUUCAUAUGUUAUCUUCCCUGCCUCAGGAAUAUGAAAUGGUUGUCUUCUAGAUUAUGAACGUGUCUUUAUUUGUCAUGUAUUGUCGACGCACUGUGUAGUCUGUACUAAUUCUACUGAGACUGCUUGAUCUCUUAUCAUUCACACUUCAGAAUUUUCUAAUUAUCUUAUUAUUAGUAGUAUCAUCCUUCCAACGUACUGAUUCACAAAUCUUAGCUAAUUAGGAAGGAACUACAUGUUUAUCCAUUCUUUUUCAGAUAUGGUGCUCUUGUAGGCAAAGUAGAUGCAUAAUUCUUUUGGAAGGAAGGGCAGGCACACUAGAUAAUGAUGUAUUAUGUUUCUGGCCCAGAACAGGCAGCCCCCAUCAUCCACAACCUUGAUUCCACAAUAUACCCCGCUGAUAUGAUCUAGAGGAGCGAGGAGCUGGGCAAGGAGUCACUGCCGGUUCACAUGACCAAGAAGGGGUAUGCGAUUUUGGGAAGAGAUGCAGGAAGACUGGAAGAAGAUUGACUUCAGUCGCUUCGGCAUCGCCGGCAGCGCCGACGGGAUCCUGCUUUAUUCCGAAGAACUGAUUUUAUAUGAUUCUGAACCUAGCCGUCCAACAUCAUAUAUGUCCAGCUAUACAAGCUUGUAUGCAGCCAAGUUAGUUGCUUUAUUAUGGACUCAACGAGGAAGAGCACUACCACUUUUUCAGAAUUUGAUUUUGUGAACCUUCAUGUUGCACUAUCACAUAUUGCACA